rnacentral:rRNA from 1 species
AUUGAACGCUGGCGGCAGGCUUAACACAUGCAAGUCGAACGAGCGGCGGCCGGGUGAGUAAUGUCUGGGACACUGCCUGAUGGAGGGGGAUAACUACUGGAAACGGUAGCUAAUACCGCAUACCAUCAGAUUUGCCCAGAUGGGAUUAGCUAGUAGGUGGGGGAAUGGCUCACCUAGGCGACGAUCCCUAGCUGGUCUGAGAGGAUGACCAGCCACACUGGAAAGGAGACACGGUCCAGACUCCUACGGGAGGCAGCAGGGGGGAAUAUUGCAAAAUGGGCGCAAGCCUGAUGCAGCCAUGCCGCGUGUGUGAAGAAGGCCUUCGGGUUGUAAAGCACUUUCAGCGAGGAGGCGUUACUCGCAGAAGAAGCACCGGCUAACUCCGUGCCAGCAGCCGCGGUAAUUC